rnacentral:rRNA from 1 species
CCUACGGGAGGCAGCAGUGGGGAAUUUUGGACAAUGGGGGCAACCCUGAUCCAGCAAUGCCGCGUGAGUGAAGAAGGCCUUCGGGUUGUAAAGCUCUUUUGUCAGGGAAGAAACGGUGCGGGCUAAUAUCCUGCGCUAAUGACGGUACCUGAAGAAUAAGCACCGGCUAACUACGUGCCAGCAGCCGCGGUAAUACGUAGGGUGCAAGCGUUAAUCGGAAUUACUGGGCGUAAAGCGUGCGCAGGCGGUUUUGUAAGUCUGUCGUGAAAUCCCCGGGCUCAACCUGGGAAUGGCGAUGGAGACUGCAAGGCUAGAAUCUGGCAGAGGGGGGUAGAAUUCCACGUGUAGCAGUGAAAUGCGUAGAGAUGUGGAGGAACACCGAUGGCGAAGGCAGCCCCCUGGGUCAAGAUUGACGCUCAUGCACGAAAGCGUGGGGAGCAAACAGGAUUAGAUACCCUGGUAGUCCACGCCCUAAACGAUGUCUACUAGUUGUCGGGUCUUAAUUGACUUGGUAACGCAGCUAACGCGUGAAGUAGACCGCCUGGGGAGUACGGUCGCAAGAUUAAAACUCAAAGGAAUUGACGG